rnacentral:misc_RNA from 1 species
GCAAUCACCGCCGCCGGAACCUUUCCGUUGUUUUUCUGGAAGUGAACCAAUCCCUUCGGGAAAACGAAGAUCUCACCCUUCUUGAUCGAUUUCGAGACAAGAACAUUGGCGGUUGUAAUGAAGCCGACGUCUAGUUGGCCUUCGAGGACGAACACGAUCUCGGUUGCGCGUGGAUGCGUGUGCGGCGGAUUCAGCCCGCCGGGAGCAUAGUCGAUUCGCGAGAGGGAGACGCCGAGUGUGUUCAGGCCGGGGAUUGAUUGGACAUUGGCUCCAGUUACUCGCGAGCCUAGGGUAUUGUUGGUGAGCCCUGGUUUGGCCAAUCCAUCGAAGAAGAAAUCGUUUGCUGAGAAAUUCGAUUUGCAGGUGAAUCCGUUUACUUUGAUUCCAGAAGCGAGAUCGGCGACGCAAACGUCUUGAAGCAAAUCGGGAUCGGCCGUGGCGAUGGCGAAGAAGAAGAAGGCAAGAGAAGCAAUAAACAGAGCAGGGGAAGGAGGCAGCUUCAUGACUGUGAAAAAAGUUGGUUGAAGAAGAGAAGAGUAAAAGGGAAAAGUUG